rnacentral:misc_RNA from 1 species
GGAAAAGGGUUUUUUUGUAAAUGUACUAAAAGGAUUAGCAAACCAGCGUUUUCAGGAACCGUCUAAAUUUACACGCUAAACGAAAAUUAUGAUGUUACCCCAAAAAAUCUAAUACAGGAAAUCCAAAAGGGUUCCAGGACACGUUAUGUUAUCAUCAAAGCCCAAAUAUCAUAAAUGACGGAAAAAGACAGAUCAAACUACAAAAGUUGCUUCCUUU